rnacentral:lncRNA from 1 species
UUUUCUUUCUUUCUUUUUUUUUUUUUUUUUUGAGUUGGAGUUUCACUCUUGUUGCCCAGGCUGGAGUGCAAUGGCACCAUCUCAGCUCACUGCCACCUCUGCCUGCCGGGUUCUAGUGAUUCUCCUGCCUCAGCCUCCCAAAUAGCUGGGACUACAGGCACUUGCCACCACGCCUGGCUAAUUUUUGUAUUUUUAGUAGAGACGGGGUUUCACCAUGUUGGUCUGGCUGGUCUUGAACUCCUGACCUCAGGUGAUCCACUCACCUCAGUCUCCCAAAGUGCUGGGAUUGCAGGCGUGAGCCACUGUGCCCGGCAGGGAAUUUCACUUUAAUUUUGGUCAAGUAUCAUGAGUUUAGUACCUUCUGAUUCAAGGCAGAAGGCACUUAAGCUCAAUCCUCAACAGCUUGAAAUCAAAACCAGAAACCCACUCUAAGAGGUAAUCCAUCUAAAUGUUUGCUAUGGAAAGGUAGCGGACACACAACAUACAGGAGUCAAUGGCCUCCCCACAUUUGGGUGAGAUGGGGCUCGCGGGGUGCAUGCACUCCCCACACUGAGAAUCUCCCCACAGGCAGAUUCUGUGACCAGAACAGGAAGAAUCAUUGCAGAAAUGGGAUUUCAUGCAUAUCACAUCUUCUACAGGUUAAAAUUAUUAGAAAAAAAUAGCUCAUCCAGAUAGCAGAACCCAAGAAAGAGAAACUAGAGGGGGGGUUUGGCAUGGGGGAAAAAGAGGCUUCUAGAAAGCCUUCAAGGGCAGAAUGGCAGUAACAGAGACCUCGGGAAAACCAGCUAAAAUCCGAGGCUUCUCUGACUAAGGCUGCAGGGAGGCGUGUCUGGAGCGCUGAAACCAGAACACUAUGAUAAUGAUUUCUGUGAAUGUGAUGCUAAGGUUGUUCGGCUAGAAUUUUAGGGAACACCAUGGAGGAAAUAUUUUCAGCCUGAUAUCAAAUCUGGGGUCCAGAGAGAAAAGUCUCAGCUUGCUCAUGGAGAAGAGCUACAAGAGAAGCCCACAUCUGUUUGCCAGGGUGGGAGAACCAGCAGGAGAUGAAAUAGAAAAGCCACAAAAGAAAAGGCAUCAUGAACUUGUCAGAUAUGCUCUCCCAGCCCUUCUUACUAAGGACAAUGGGUACUUGUCCAAGCCCAUCCACCAUUCUGUCAGUCGCAUCCUAAGAAGAGAUCAGAGAAGAUUCUCUCCUAGACCACGCAAAAUAGACCGAUCAUCUUUGGCACGUGUGGCCAUGACCCACAUGAGGAUUUAUAAGCGACCUAGUCACCGGGACUUCAUGUGGUUACCUUUUCUGAAUGGCUCCCGGUUCUCCUCUGCUUCCCUGUUGACUCGGUUUUGUUCUGGUUCAACAGCAGACCCCUGGUCAUCAAGUUCAUCUUCUGUUUCAUCAUCACUGUAGGGAACCACUUCGUCA